rnacentral:snoRNA from 1 species
UCAAGAUGAUGACUUUGAUGACGAGUCAGAAGAGUAUUUCGCUGUUGACUCCAUCUUUUUUACCAUUCAUGCCUAUAACUGAUU